UCCGUAGGUGGACAAUUAAGUCAGAGGUGAAAUCCUGCAGCUCAACUGUAGAAUUGCCUUUGAUACUGGUUAUCUUGAGUCAUUAUGAAGUGGUUAGAAUGUGUAGUGUAGCGGUGAAAUGCAUAGAUAUUACACAGAAUACCGAUUGCGAAGGCAGAUCACUAAUAAUGUACUGACACUGAGGGACGAAAGCGUGGGGAGCGAACAGGAUUAGAUACCCUGGUAGUCC
rnacentral:rRNA from 1 species